AAAAAGUUUUAGGCACUAAAAUAAUUAGUCCAUAUGAAAUUAUCUUAUCUUUUGCAGAAAAACUGGCAUUUGUGGGUUUCAAAGGCUCAUUCUACCCCGACUGGGUAAAAUUGGAGAUCAGCAGUGACCAAGCAAAGAUCCAUCAGGUCUUGCCUGUCCCUAUCGUUUACAAGUUCAAAUUAUAAUUUGCAGGCCAAAUGAAGAGAUUUGGAAGAAACAAAAGUCCAAGACUGAAAAGCUGAAGACCAUCAGAAUGUGGUGGACAAAGAUUUCAAGACCUCCAACCAGAGCCCAAGUUUCCACAAUUGUUUUGAUGCGUCUCAUUUUCUCACAGUCUCUGGCAGCAACGGCUCACUGCAGUCAGAAGAAAUGUGGACUUCUGCUAACAAUAAAUCUAACUUUUUUUUAAAGUUUGCCACAGAUGUAAAUGUAUUCUUUGGACAUAUGAUUCACCAUUUGUUUGUCACAAUCUUUUGUAAUCUUACUUAGAACCGAGAAUAAGUCAUCUAGACAAAAAUACAAUUUUUAGUUAAAACU